rnacentral:rRNA from 1 species
AUUGAACGCUGGCGGCAUGCUUUACACAUGCAAGUCGAACGGUAACAGGGUGCUUGCACCGCUGACGAGUGGCGAACGGGUGAGUAAUGCGUCGGAACGUGCCGAGUAGUGGGGGAUAACGCAGCGAAAGUUGUGCUAAUACCGCAUACGUACUGAGGUAGAAAGUGGGGGACCUUCGGGCCUCACGCUAUUCGAGCGGCCGACGUCUGAUUAGCUAGUAGGUGAGGUAAAGGCUCACCUAGGAGACGAUCAGUAGCGGGUCUGAGAGGAUGAUCCGCCACACUGGGACUGAGACACGGCCCAGACUCCUACGGGAGGCAGCAGUGGGGAAUUUUGGACAAUGGGCGAAAGCCUGAUCCAGCCAUGCCGCGUGUCUGAAGAAGGCCUUCGGGUUGUAAAGGACUUUUGUCAGGGAGGAAAUCCCUAGUGCUAAUAACACUGGGGGAUGACAGUACCUGAAGAAUUAGCACCGGCUAACUACGUGCCAGCAGCAGCCGCGG